rnacentral:tRNA from 1 species
AGUAUAGUUAAAUAAUAAUAUUGGACUGCAAACCCAGUGAUGCGGCCCUCACCGCUACUU